GUGGGGAAUUUUGGACAAUGGGCGAAAGCCUGAUCCAGCCAUGCCGCGUGCAGGAUGAAGGCCUUCGGGUUGUAAACUGCUUUUGUACGGAACGAAAAGACUCCUUCUAAUAAAGGGGGUCCAUGACGGUACCGUAAGAAUAAGCACCGGCUAACUACGUGCCAGCAGCCGCGGUAAUACGUAGGGUGCAAGCGUUAAUCGGAAUUACUGGGCGUAAAGCGUGCGCAGGCGGUUAUAUAAGACAGAUGUGAAAUCCCCGGGCUCAACCUGGGAACUGCAUUUGUGACUGUAGAGCUAGAGUACGGGAGAGGGGGAUGGAAUUCCGCGUGUAGCAGUGAAAUGCGUAGAUAUGCGGAGGAACACCGAUGGCGAAGGCAAUCCCCUGGACCUGUACUGACGCUCAUGCACGAAAGCGUGGGGAGCAAACAGGAUUAGAAACCCUGGUAGUCC
rnacentral:rRNA from 1 species